AACUGUUCCUGUUGCUGAAGUAGUCAGCCAGGCAAUAGGAGGGGUGUAUGGGACCACGUUAGGAAACAUUGGAUCUUUGUAUCAACUUCAUUGAGAAGACUGUACCCUGUUAAACCUGACCUGCGAAUCCUAUGUGAAACUGUGUAACCUGCCUGUGGUGGAAAAUAAAGGCUUUGGCUAAUUACAUCAUCAGCUCUUCUACUGUUGCAAGGGAUUCUGACAAUUUGAUUUUGCACGGGUCUAUUUAUGUACUGCAGCAGAGAAAAGACUUCUCCAGCGGCACUCCCACUCCGUGCCUGAAUCAUGAGUGCGAUUCAUGAAGGAACAGAAACCUCUGCUUUCUGCUUCACCAUGGAGUUCAGAUUUGCCAUAUCAGGAUGGCACAACUUGAACUGUAGUGAGGUAACUGCACGGAAGCUCAAUGCUUCGGAUCUCCCUGUCCGGCACCUGGUGGUAGCUCUGCCCACUAACUUCCCAGAGCCCCUACAGCCUCCCGGGACCUCAGGAGCCAGCGCAUGUGCAGAGUGGACACGACGGCUGAAUCCAACACUGCAGAGGGGGACCGCAGGAGAAGUUGGCCACGCUGGAGCCUGAGAUACUGCAACGCAUUGCCGGAGAGUUGAUUAUACAUAAAUUGCUACUUAUCACAGCUAUAUAUCGCAUUGAACUGAUGCGAUGUAUAGUGAUAAGUAACAAUUCCAUUUUCUUUUUUCUCAUGAAUAGACCCCUUACUGUUAUGUGUGUGAAAUGCAUUCUGUGUUCUUGCUUUGUACUCACAGUGAAGCCACACUUCAUCAUAUUCCUGGCACAUCUGCUCCUGUUAUUUUCAGGUGGCGGUGGAGUGCAUUUGCUAUCUAUGCAACUUUGGUUUUAUCAUAUGUUUGUGACAAACUCUGCAAAGAUAGCAAUAUGCGCUUUAUUUUCUUUACCAUUGCAUGUUACAUUACUGCUUAGGAACAAAUUGCAUUCAACUCCUAUGGAGAUCCAGUAAUACCUCAUACUACACCAAGGCAGGGGUGUAUCUAGAGAGGAGGUGACCUGUGUGCAGGCUCUGUCUGGGCCCCCCUCUGUAGCCGGCAGCGAUGUCCCAGAGUCUAGAGCGCAUGCCAAAUCUCAGAGAAAUAUUGCACUGCGGCGAUUUUCCCAGUGGUUUUUCUACUGCGCAUGUGCAAAACACUGUGAAAAUGGCACCACAGCAUUUUCCCAGUGAUUUCUGCACCGCACACACUGCAUCCAUUAUAAAUACACCAGUGCACCAAGGGGUAAAUUUACUAUCAAUUGUGUUUGCCCGAGGUUUACUAAAGGCAAACAUGGUAGGUAAUCUUUAUUUGAACUGCAAAACACAGACAAAUCUGCAAAUAGAAGUCAAUAGUAGUCAUUCCGAGUUGUUUGCUCGCUGACGAUUUUCGCAGUGCAGCGAUUAAGUGAAAAAAUGGCAAAAAUGCACAUGCGCAUGGUACGCAGUGCGCAUGCGCUAAGUACUUUCACACAAAACUUUGUAGAUUUACACAAGCUCGAGCGAUGUUUUUUCAUUGCUUGAGUGAUCGUAGUGUGAUUGACAG